rnacentral:rRNA from 1 species
CCCUUAGAUGUUCUGGGCCGCACGCGUGCUACACUGAGUGGAUCAGCGGGUCAGGUUGCGCGAAAGCGUUUCCUAAUCUUUAAAUCCGCUCGUGAUGGGGAUUGACGGUUGCAAUUUUCUGUCAUGAACGAGGAAUACCUUGUAAGCGCGGGUCAUCAUCCCGCGCUGAAUACGUCCCUGCCCUUUGUACACACCGCCCGUCGCUCCUACCGAUUGAGUGGUCCCGUGAGACUUUGGGAUCUGAGCGGAAAGAGCGUUUCGCUGUUUCUGCUCGGAAAACUCAGUCGAACCUUAUCAUUUAGAGGAAGGAGAAGUCGUAACA